CCAGACUCCUACGGGAGGCAGCAGUGAGGAAUAUUGGUCAAUGGUCGGGAGACUGAACCAGCCAAGCCGCGUGAGGGAGGAAGGUACAGAGUAUCGUAAGCCUCUUUUGUCAGGGAACAAAGGCGGGGACGUGUCCCCGGAUGAGUGUACCUGAAGAAAAAGCAUCGGCUAACUCCGUGCCAGCAGCCGCGGUAAUACGGAGGAUGCGAGCGUUAUCCGGAUUUAUUGGGUUUAAAGGGUGCGCAGGCGGGAGAUCAAGUCAGCGGUAAAAUGUCGGGGCUCAACCCCGGCCGGCCGUUGAAACUGGUUUUCUAGAGUUGGAGAGAAGUAUGCGGAAUUCGUGGUGUAGCGGUGAAAUGCAUAGAUAUCACGAAGAACUCCGAUUGCGAAGGCAGCCUGCCGCAGCGUUACUGACGCUGAAGCUCGAAAGCGCGGGUAUCGAACAGGAUUAGAUACCCCGGUA
rnacentral:rRNA from 1 species